rfam:Hordeum vulgare subsp. vulgare, WGS project CAJW01000000 data, contig: morex_contig_56626
CAAAUACUUCCUCCGUUCUAAAGUUCUUGUCUUAGGUUUGUCUAGAAAUGAAUGUAUUAAAAUACUAAAACAUGACUAGAUACAUUCAUAUCUAGACAAAUCUAAAAUAAGAAUUUUGAGACGGAUGGAAUAACAA